rnacentral:rRNA from 1 species
CAGCAGCCGCGGUAAAACAGAGGGUGCGAGCGUUAAUCGGAUUUACUGGGCGUAAAGCGUGCGUAGGCGGCUUCUUAAGUCGGAUGUGAAAUCCCUGAGCUUAACUUAGGAAUUGCAUUCGAUACUGGGAAGCUAGAGUAUGGGAGAGGAUGGUAGAAUUCCAGGUGUAGCGGUGAAAUGCGUAGAGAUCUGGAGGAAUACCGAUGGCGAAGGCAGCCAUCUGGCCUAAUACUGACGCUGAGGUACGAAAGCAUGGGGAGCAAACAGGAUUAGAUACCCCAGUAGUCCCUGUUUCUUAUAA